rnacentral:rRNA from 1 species
UACGUAGGGGGCAAGCGUUGUCCGGAUUCAUUGGGCGUAAAGAGCUCGUAGGCGGCUUGGCAAGUCGGGUGUGAAAACUCCAGGCUCAACCUGGAGACGCCACCCGAUACUGCCAUGGCUUGAGUCCGGUAGGGGACCACGGAAUUCCUGGUGUAGCGGUGAAAUGCGCAGAUAUCAGGAGGAACACCGGUGGCGAAGGCAGCUGCCUGGCCUAGAACUGACGCUGAGGUGCGAAAGCGCGGGGAGCGAACGGG